CAUGGSUAUAAAAUGUUUGGGCUUAGCUUUGCUUGGGUCCUCAACAUACAAACAGCUCAMUGUUCAACCCUAAAGACGCAACUGCCAAAAUGACCUGUCCAAUCAUGAGGAACAGGAUGAAGGUGGAGGAGAGGAUGCAGGAGUAUUACGAGCAGGUGGAAGGAUAGCGGCAAGUGGUGACAACGAACGCUAGGAUGGUCCUGAGGCUCAAUGUCGUUACGGGCAAACACAGAGUCAACAGAGAUGACAUCCACAAGAAUAACUGCCAUUGUGCAUAGGGAGAAGGAAAAUGUUUUUACCUGGCCCACCCCUCCUCCCUGUGUCAUCGAUAGACAUCCGGCAUACACGGUGAGACGCCUCCUGAGUGUUCGACCACAGGGCAGGGUUUUCCAGUACCUGGUUGACUGGGAAGGUUAUGGCCCGGAGGUGCUGUGUCCCCGCUAGAGACGUCCUGGACCCAGCCCUCA